rnacentral:lncRNA from 1 species
UGGUAAUCAUAUUGACAAAUUAUUUUGGCGUACAAUAGGUACGUGACCAAUGACCAUUCAUGUCAUAAUAAUGACAUCAUCUCAAACCUUCUUCUAGGGGUGAGUGUGGUAUCAUCUCAAAACUCCUUCUAGGGGUAAGUGUGGUAUAUUCAAUACCAAUUUCAUGUUCAUAUUCUUCCAAUAGUGAAUAUAUAUUCGUGAAUCAGAUGUUGUCACAUUCACUGCGGG